rnacentral:rRNA from 1 species
ACGCUCGACACCUACGGGAGGCAGCAGUUGGGAAUAUUGGACAAUGGAGGGAAACUCUGAUCCAGUGACGCCGCGUGAAGGAAGAAGGUCUUCGGAUUGUAAACUUAUUUUGUCAGGGAAGAAAAAAUGACUGUACCUGAAGAAAAAGCACCGGCUAACUACGUGCUAGCAGCCGCGGUAAUCUGAGCGGGCUGGCAAGGC